rnacentral:lncRNA from 1 species
CAUGCUGGCCUGGCCUAAUUUUAUAUAAAGAAUUUUCUAUCAAAAUUUCACGUGAUUUGGAUAUUUCUACACCGUUAAAUUUGCAAACGGCUCACUACGGCCAUUGAAAUUUGUUGAUUUUGAGCCCCUUCGAUCACUAGGCAAAUGAUAUCGAAAAAUAAUAAAAUUUAUUUUCUAGGUACUCCAAAUACUCUAGAUCAAGUUUAA